rnacentral:rRNA from 1 species
GACGAACGCUGGCGGCGCGCCUAACACAUGCAAGUCGAACGGAGCUUAGAGAGCUUGCUUUUUAAGCUUAGUGGCGAACGGGUGAGUAACGCGUGAGUAACCUGCCCUAGAGUGGGGGACAACAGUUGGAAACGACUGCUAAUACCGCAUAAGCCCACGGUACCGCAUGGCACUGAGGGAAAAGGAUUUAUUCGCUUUAGGAUGGACUCGCGUCCAAUUAGCUAGUUGGUGAGGUAACGGCCCACCAAGGCGACGAUUGGUAGCCGGACUGAGAGGUUGAACGGCCACAUUGGGACUGAGACACGGCCCAGACUCCUACGGGAGGCAGCAGUGGGGGAUAUUGCACAAUGGGGGAAACCCUGAUGCAGCGACGCCGCGUGGAGGAAGAAGGUUUUCGGAUUGUAAACUCCUGUCGUUAGGGACGAUAAUGACGGUACCUAACAAGAAAGCACCGGCUAACUACGUGCCAGCAGCCGCGGUAAAACGUAGGGUGCAAGCGUUGUCCGGAAUUACUGGGUGUAAAGGGAGCGCAGGCGGGAAGACAAGUUGGAAGUGAAAACCAUGGGCUCAACCCAUGAAUUGCUUUCAAAACUGUUUUUUCUUGAGUAGUGCAGAGGUAGAUGGAAUUCCCGGUGUAGCGGUGGAAUGCGUAGAUAUCGGGAGGAACACCAGUGGCGAAGGCGGUCUACUGGGCACCAACUGACGCUGAGGCUCGAAAGCAUGGGUAGCAAACAGGAUUAGAUACCCUGGUAGUCCAUGCCGUAAACGAUGAUUACUAGGUGUUGGGGGAUUGACCCCCUCAGUGCCGCAGUUAACACAAUAAGUAAUCCACCUGGGGAGUACGACCGCAAGGUUGAAACUCAAAGGAAUUGACGGGGGCCCGCACAAGCAGUGGAGUAUGUGGUUUAAUUCGAAGCAACGCGAAGAACCUUACCAGGUCUUGACAUCCGAUGCAUAGCACAGAGAUGUGUGAAAUCCUUCGGGACAUCGAGACAGGUGGUGCAUGGUUGUCGUCAGCUCGUGUCGUGAGAUGUUGGGUUAAGUCCCGCAACGAGCGCAACCCUUAUUGCCAGUUACUACGUUAAGAGGACUCUGGCGAGACUGCCGUUGACAAAACGGAGGAAGGUGGGGAUGACGUCAAAUCAUCAUGCCCUUUAUGACCUGGGCUACACACGUACUACAAUGGCGUUAAACAAAGAGAAGCAAGACCGCGAGGUGGAGCAAAACUCAAAAACAACGUCUCAGUUCAGAUUGCAGGCUGCAACUCGCCUGCAUGAAGUCGGAAUUGCUAGUAAUCGCGGAUCAGCAUGCCGCGGUGAAUACGUUCCCGGGGCCU